UGAUAGCGUGGAAGCGUGAGGUUGCUGCUCGAGAGAGCAGGUUUUCCGUGGAGCGAAUGUCAAGUUAGGAAACUGGCGACAA
rnacentral:ncRNA from 1 species